rnacentral:rRNA from 1 species
AAACUGAAGAGUUUGAUCCUGGCUCAGAUUGAACGCUAGCGGCAUGCCUUACACAUGCAAGUCGAACGGCAGCGGGGGAGCUUGCUCCCGCCGGCGAGUGGCAAACGGGUGAGUAAUACAUCGGAACGUGCCCAGUAGUGGGGGAUAGCCCGGCGAAAGCCGGAUUAAUACCGCAUACGACCUACGGGUGAAAGCGGGGGACCGAAAGGCCUCGCGCUAUUGGAGCGGCCGAUGGCUGAUUAGCUAGUUGGUGGGGUAAAGGCCUACCAAGGCUACGAUCAGUAGCUGGUCUGAGAGGACGACCAGCCACACUGGGACUGAGACACGGCCCAGACU